rnacentral:rRNA from 1 species
UGUACACGCUGUGACUAGCAUAUCAAUAAGCGGAGGAAAAGAAACUAACAAGGAUUCCCCUUAGUAACGGCGAGUGAAGCGGGAAGAGCUCAAAUUUGAAAUCUUAAAGGGUUUCCCUUUACGAAUUGUAGUUUAAAGAAGUGUUUUCUGUUGAGGUUUUGGUAAAAGUUCUUUGGAAUAGGACAUCAUAGAGGGUGAGAAUCCCGUAUUUGACCUUUACUUUCAACUUUGUGAUACACUUUCAAAGAGUCGGAUUGUUUGGGAAUGCAGUCCCAAAAUGGGUGGUAAAUUUCAUCUAAAGCUAAAUAUUGGCGAGAGACCGAUAGCGAACAAGUACCGUGAGGGAAAGAUGAAAAGAACUUUGAAAAGAGAGUUAAACAGUACGUGAAAUUGUCAAAAGGGAAGCGUUUGACACCAGUGUUGUUUUUUCUGAAAAUCAAUUAAAGAACUGUUUAUGCUAAGCUGUUUAGACUUUAUCAGCUAUCUGUUUAGUUUUGAGCUUUUCUUUAAUGCACUUUUCAGUUAACAAGUCAACAUCAAUUUCUUUUGCUGUAAAAAAGCUUGAGGAAGGUGGCUUGAGAUUCGUCUUAAGUGUUUAUAGCCUCUUGCCUAUGCAGUCGGAGAGAUUGAGGUCUGCAGCGUAGAUCCUUCGGGGCUAAAUGCAUUUGUGCUAAGUUAUAGCAUUUUAUAGACAACUUGUUGACUAUGAUUUGUCUUGUAGCUUACUCGCUUAUGUUAUUUUACCUACGCUUAGGAUGUUGAGUCGUAGAGCACGCAG